ensembl:ncRNA K02B2.35 ncRNA
UGAUAAUUUUUUUACUUUAAAAAUUACUGUUUCAAAAUUUUCAUUAAAAGUUGAAAUUUAUGGAAUGUCACUACGGAAGUCGGCGCCUGUAUCGAUAAAGAAAACGUGACGGAAGUGUUCAAAAAUGGUCAGAGCACAUAUUUAUUAUCA